rnacentral:ribozyme from 12 species
GGAAAUCUUCACUCCACAGGAAUAAAUAAAUAUAUAUAUGAGAAAAAAAGAAUGAAUCAACAACUCCUCAAGGGGUUGUUGCUGCUGUUGUUGUUUGUUUGUUUGUUUUCUUGACUGCCUCAUUUCUUUUC